rnacentral:rRNA from 1 species
GAUGAACGCUGGCGGCGUGCUUAACACAUGCAAGUCGAACGAGAAGUGAAGACGGAAACCUUCGGGCGGAAGGCUUUAUUUCGAGUGGCGGACGGGUAAGUAACGCGUGGGUAACCUGCCUCAUACAGGGGGAUAACAGUUGGAAACGACUGUUAAUACCGCAUAAGACCACAGCACCGCAUGGUGCGGGGGUAAAAACUCCGGUGGUAUGAGAUGGACCCGCGUUCGAUUAGCCAGUUGGCGGGGUAACGGCCCACCAAAGCGACGAUCGAUAGCCGAUCUGAGAGGAUGGCCGGCCACAUUGGGACUGAGACACGGCCCAAACUCCUACGGGAGGCAGCAGUGGGGAAUAUUGCACAAUGGGGGAAACCCUGAUGCAGCGACGCCGCGUGAGUGAAGAAGUAUUUCGGUAUGUAAAGCUCUAUCAGCAGGGAAGAAAAUGACGGUACCUGAGUAAGAAGCCCCGGCUAACUACGUG